GUUCGCUUUCCGUUCGGCGGGUUGGGUACUGGCGGAAAUUGAAUGCAGGGUCCAGUAUCUUCUCUGCCUAGAGCGGUGCUCAUUUGGAAGCUCGGGCCUGCAGCGUAGAGAAGAGGAGCGGUGGCGGCGAGGCACCAUGGAUUUCCUGAUGCAGCCAAUCGACGGAUCCACUCUCCUUGCAGAAGUAGGCGAGAGCUUGGUGCCAGUCCCUGUGCCGCAAGUGCCGUCGGGAGGCGCUAUGGUGGAGGAGUAGGAGGUGGCAGAGCAGCAACGGGCGGUGGACAGUAAGUAGAAACUGAAUUUAUAGUGUUAUCAGAUUUUCGCGGCCAAGGAGGCGGCGGCGGAUAGGAGGGAGAGCUCGCCUCCGACGUCGGAGCUGUCAGUUGGGAAGAUGAAUCCGCGGGUGGUGACUGCGUGGAACAAGAGGGUAAAGUUGGUGUUAAGAACACAAGGUCUUGCCGUUGCAAAUGUCAGACGCUGGGUGGUACAUCACAGAGCAUUGGGAGAGCCACAACCAUUCCCUUUCACCAAACUUUGGCGAGAUGGUGCAUUGGCCAUGGCACAAGCAUAUAUAUCUGAUAAAGCAGUUGCGGCAAAACAAUGCCAACCUUGCGAAGUUGUAUGGUAUCAUAGGGAACUUCUUUGGAUCAAUGGAGAAUGUGCCAUUCACCAAAAGGUCUUUGCGCAAUCUCCGUGGGAAGAUAAAUAGGGAGCAGGUCGAUGAUGAUGGAGGUGUUUGCUGAAAUUGGGGCCAAGGAUCCGCAUUUCACAUACAAAAUUCAGGCUGACAAUGAGGGCGGGAUUAACAACCUGAUGUGGGCAAGUGGAAACAGCAGGCUGCAGUACACAUUUUUCAGGGAUGUGAUAACAUUUGACACCAUGUACUGGACUAAUUUGUACGAAAUGCUGUUCAGCCUAUUGUUGGUGUUAAUAGUCAUUUCCAGAGUACCAUCCUGGCAGAGGUGCUUGUUUGUGAUGAGACAACUGAGAGUUCUGAAUGUUUUCUCAGAAUUUCUUAGAGUGAUGGGCGGCGCUCCUCUGAUGACUAUACUUACUGGUAAGUUCUUGCUUUCCUGGUGUGCUUUGCAGUCCCUAUUCAGGCUAUGGAGCUGGCUAUCAAAGAGCAUUAUGCCAGACACCACAUGCUGGCGGUGCAAGUAUCACAUGCUCAAGAACGCAAAAUAAACGUUGGGCCCUCUGUACACCAAGAAGGGUGAAUUCAAGCAGAGUCCCAUGAGGUGGUGAACUACAUGCUCACGGUAGAUGGGUUUGAGAAUGGGUGGGUGAUGCUGCUGGAUGAAUACAAGCUAUGGAGACGCCCGUACAUGACUCUACUUCUCGAGAUCAGAAAGAAAUGGACAAAGCCGUAUUUCGAAGGUGUUUUAUGUGCAACGAUGAGCACAUAAAGGAGUGAUGGUGUCUAAUGGAUAUGUUUGUGCAGAAGUAUAUGAUGCUUCUGUUCGACAGACUCGGGCGAGAACUAUUGAGGAGAAGAGAACAAGAAUUUGUUAUUUCAGUUUGGAAAAUAUAGAGUACUGAGCAUGGUACUAAUGGUUACAACUGGUUCCUGAUUUAGGGGAGAUCUUUGAUGAGGGUGCUUCGACAGGUGGAGUUGUUGGGAGAAAUGUGGCUGCCGGAAACAGUAAUCGUCGCUGGCAGGCAAAAAUUGUAGGACGGAGGUAUGUUGGUGGUGCCUCCGAGACAGGGAACAUGGGUUCUACUAAAGCGGUCUUGGAGACGGUAGGGGAAUAAGAAGUCAGAAAGAGGCAACAAAAGGCGGAGGAGAGUGAGGUUCUCGAACAUUGUUGAAACGAUUUGUCGAUCGGAAACCUCAGAAACCGAAGACACUUCAAGUGAUAAUCACAGCAUGGCAAGUGAGGAUGAUGACCUUCGUGCGCGUCGUGCAGGAAGUGACAAGGAGCAAGGUUAUAAACUUAUAAUACAGUGGUGGCACUGGAAAGGGUGGCGACAGAGUCCAAAAGGGUGGAGGUGUUGCUGCUGCACUUGGUUCUGGAAUUGGCAUGGAAGGAGGGGCAGCUGAUGAUGGAACUAAUUCUUGUGGGAGGAUCCAGCGUCAUGACUGUGAGCUUGGAUACACAUUCAGGGGUUCUUCAGGUUAGUGGAAUUGUUGAAUGUUUGAGAGUAGUAUAUAGUGCCUAUCAGGGCGGAUGUACGGAUAACUUGUGUCGACCACAAUGUCAGAGGUUGGAGGUAGCUCAAGCCAAGGAGGAUGUGGUGGCAAUGCAAAUGUUGAAGAGGAGAAACUCCAUGCGCAAUUGAGGAAGAAAUAAUAAUGGGAGGGGACGAGGCGAAUGAAUCUUGCAGAGGAAAGUUGGUUGGUGGAUUGGUGGCUGCAAAUAAAUGAGUUGGUUUGGACAAUGUUUCCGUCUGUGCGUGUCAUCUGAGCACCGUCUGAGACGUCAAGCAUGAGACGGCGGCCGUCACAUUAAGUCUGGUUGGUGGGUGGGCCAUGGUCUGCAAAAGAAUUGCAUAUACUACUUUGAAUACAUAGACAUAUACGUGGAGUGGUGGGAAUCUUGGCGCUAGUGGACGUAGGAGAUAAGGAGCACAUAUGAGCCCGAGCUCAUAAUAGUACUUCCCGUGACCGAGCAAUAUCUUCCUUUCUUGACAUAGUAAUUAUAUGCACAUGACCAGACAAUUUGGAUGCCAUAGUAAUUAUACACACGUGACCGGA